rnacentral:lncRNA from 1 species
GCGGAGGCCCUGGCCCGCCGGCGGGACGAGGAGCGGCGGCUGCAGGAGGAGAGCGAGGCCCGGGAGAAGGCGCGGGCCGAGCAGGAGGAGCUGGAGCGGCUGCAGAGACAGAGGGAAGAGGCCGAGGCCAAGGCGCGCGAGGAGGCCGAGAGGCAGCGCCUGGAGCGGGAGAAGCACUUCCAGCGCGAGGAGCAGGAGCGGCUGGAGCGGAAGAAGCGCCUGGAGGAGAUCAUGAAGAGGACGCGCAAGUCGGACGCGGCAGAUGCCAAGAAGAAGGAGGACAAGAAGAUGGUGAACGGGAAAGCAGCUGAGCAGGAGGACGUCAAAGGCCCCGAGAAGCGCGCGGGGCCGCUGGCCAAGGAGGAGGAGCUCCCCGAGACGGAGACGCCGAGCGCGGGCACGCCGGGCGCGCAGAAGGGGCCGGCCGGCGAGGGGCUGCAGCCGAGCUCCCCGGGCAAGGAGGCGACGGCGCUGGUGAACGGCGUGCAGCCCGGCAAGCACGAGAACGGCUUCUCGGCCACGGAGGGCAGCCAGGAGCUGCAGGGCGUGCUGGAGCUGGCGCACCACGGCCCCGGCACCAUCCUCCCCUUCGGCGACAAGGAGCCCUUCCUCAAGAAGGCCGUGGUCAAACCCCCCCAGGUCACAGAGGUGCUGUGAGGGCCGAGCCCCCGGCGGACAUCCCCGCGGGGGCCCCCGCGCGCCCGCCAACUCCGGACUCUCACGCAGAACCRUAGCUGUCGUCAGAAGAAAAACCUCGCUGCUCCCCUCCGCCCACCGCCYGCGGGCGGCCCAGGCGGUGCGGGGCCCUGCCGGGGCGGCUCGCGGCCCCCCGCCUGCUCCGGGGACUCCUGGUUUCUCUUUUCAUCCUUGUUUUUAUUUCAUUUCGUUGUUUUUUUUUUUUUAAUAUGCACCUUAUCAGACUGACGCCCCCACUCUAGCAGCCUGCCAGAGCCGCCCCAGACGUGUGGUGUAAUAAUGUAGUUAUUUAACUUGCUGGGUACAAUAUAUGUGAAUACUGUAAAUAAAGCAGGUGAUGCAUCGGGGACGCUCGCCCA